rnacentral:snoRNA from 1 species
AACCCAUGAUGAGGACAUUUUCUAGUGUAUCCUUUAAGUCUCUCCCAUGCUUCAUCAAAGUCUCAUGGGUUCCUUGUUUGAACCUCAAGAUGUCUUUCCUAGCUU